CGGACGGGUGAGUAACGCGUGGGUAACCUGCCUUGUACUGGGGGACAACAGUUAGAAAUGACUGCUAAUACCGCAUAAGCGCACAGUAUCGCAUGAUACAGUGUGAAAAACUCCGGUGGUACAAGAUGGACCCGCGUCUGAUUAGCUAGUUGGUGGGGUAACGGCCUACCAAGGCGACGAUCAGUAGCCGGCCUGAGAGGGUGACCGGCCACAUUGGGACUGAGACACGGCCCAA
rnacentral:rRNA from 1 species